CCUACGGGUGGCUGCAGUGGGGAAUAUUGCGCAAUGGGCGAAAGCCUGACGCAGCGACGCCGCGUGAGGGAUGAAGGUCUUCGGAUCGUAAACCUCUGUCAGCAGGGAAGAACGGUCACUGUGCGAAUCAGCAGGGAAUUGACGGUACCUGCAAAGGAAGCACCGGCUAACUCCGCGCCAGCAGCCGCGGUAAUACGGAGGAUGCGAGCAAUAUCCGGUUUUAGUGUGUGAAAAGGGUGCGUAGGCGGAAUGCCGAGUCAGCGGUAAAAUCGCGGGGCGCAACCUCGCUCCGCCGUUGAUACUGGCAAGCUGGAGUGUGUGUGAGGAUAGUGGAAUUCCAGGUGUAGGAGUGAAAUCCGUAGAUAUCUGGAGGAACAUCAGUGGCGAAGGCGACUAUCUGGCACAUGACUGACGCUGAGGAGCGAAAGCGUGGGUAGCAAACAGGAUUAGAUACCCUAGUAGUC
rnacentral:rRNA from 1 species